rnacentral:lncRNA from 1 species
ACAAUUAAAAAUCCAGAGAUGGUAAAAUCCUAAAAUAAACACCAUAAAAUUCUAGACAUUCACAUGAACAAGUAGAAAAAAGUUGGGAAUUAAUUGGAUCAUUAUGCUAUUUUUGGUGAUUUUUUGAAUGAGCAUGAAAUAAUGAAAUAAAAAUUGAAAACAUGGAAAUAAUGAAAAUGAAUUAUGAAGUUUUGGAAAUGCAGCCAGGCAGGAUCGAAG